rnacentral:rRNA from 1 species
GAUGAACGCUAGCUACAGGCUUAACACAUGCAAGUCGAGGGGAAACGACAUCGAAAGCUUGCUUUUGAUGGGCGUCGACCGGCGCACGGGUGAGUAACGCGUAUCCAACCUGCCCACCACUUGGGGAUAACCUUGCGAAAGUAAGACUAAUACCCAAUGACGUCUCUAGAAGACAUCUGAAAAAGAUUAAAGAUUUCUCGGUGACGGAUGGGGAGGCGUCUGAUUAUGUUGUUGGCGGGGUAACGGCCCACCAAGGCGACGAUCAGUAGGGGUUCUGAGAGGAAGGUCCCCCACAUUGGAACUGAGACACGGUCCAAACUCCUACGGGAGGCAGCAGUGAGGAAUAUUGGUCAAUGGGCGAGAGCCUGAACCAGCCAAGUAGCGUGCAGGAUGACGGCCCUAUGGGUUGUAAACUGCUUUUAUAAGGGAAUAAAGUGAGUCUCGUGAGACUUUUUGCAUGUACCUUAUGAAUAAGGACCGGCUAAUUCCGUGCCAGCAGCCGCGGUAA